rnacentral:tRNA from 1 species
GGAGGGUUGCGCCGAAUGGUAAGGCAGCGGUUUGCUAAACCGUAGCGGCGUAAAAAGCCGCUUGUGGGUUCGAGUCCCACACCCUCCGCCU